AUCAUCACACAUCAUAAGUUUAGACAUCUCAUGUUUCAAUUGAGCAUGUCCUGCCUCCAAUUCUUGAAUCUUCUUAAGCAGCUCCUCAGCUGGUGGUGUUGAUCCUUGUGCUGCUGAUUCUGCUUUUCUACUAUCCAUUUCAAUUUCAAGAUUGAUCAAAACCCCUCUUCACCAGUUUGACUUUAUCACUGAAACCCCACUAUGGAAUGCAUUUCUAGCUGAAAAAUAAAGAAAUUAACUACCCUAUUGAGUUCAAGACUCCACCUUUUUCAGGUCUCUCUACAAAUUAACAACAACAACAAAAACAAACCCGAGGUUCGGGGAGGGUUAAGUGUACGCAAACCUUAUCACUAUCCUCUCUAGCUCUCUCUACAAAUCAAUAUCUGCAAAUGAAAAAAAG
rnacentral:misc_RNA from 1 species